rnacentral:rRNA from 1 species
AACGAACGCUGGCGGCAUGCCUAACACAUGCAAGUCGAACGAUGCCUUCGGGCAUAGUGGCGCACGGGUGCGUAACGCGUGGGAAUCUGCCUUUCGGUUCGGAAUAACUCAGGGAAACUUGAGCUAAUACCGGAUAACGUCGCAAGACCAAAGAUUUAUCACCGAAAGAUGAGCCCGCGUAGGAUUAGCUAGUUGGUGAGGUAAAGGCUCACCAAGGCGACGAUCCUUAGCUGGUCUGAGAGGAUGAUCAGCCACACUGGGACUGAGACACGGCCCAGACUCCUACGGGAAGGAGCAGUGGGGAAUAUUGGACAAUGGGCGAAAGCCUGAUCCAGCAAUGCCGCGUGAGUGAUGAAGGCCUUAGGGUUGUAAAGCUCUUUUACCCGGGAAGAUAAUGACGGUACCGGGAGAAUAAGCCCCGGCUAACUCCGUG